AGUGAACGCUGGCGGUAGGCCUAACACAUGCAAGUCGAACGGCAGCACAGUAAGAGCUUGCUCUUACGGGUGGCGAGUGGCGGACGGGUGAGGAAUACAUCGGAAUCUACUUUUUCGUGGGGGAUAACGUAGGGAAACUUACGCUAAUACCGCAUACGACCUACGGGUGAAAGCAGGGGAUCUUCGGACCUUGCGCGAUUGAAUGAGCCGAUGUCGGAUUAGCUAGUUGGCGGGGUAAAGGCCCACCAAGGCGACGAUCCGUAGCUGGUCUGAGAGGAUGAUCGGCCACACUGGAACUGAGACACGGUCCAGCCUCCUACGGGAGGCAGCAGUGGGGAAUAUUGGACAAUGGGCGCAAGCCUGAUCCAGCCAUACCGCGUGGGUGAAGAAGGCCUUCGGGUUGUAAAGCCCUUUUGUUGGGAAAGAAAAGCAGCAGGUUAAUACCCCGCUGUUCUGACGGUACCCAAAGAAUAAGCACCGGCUAACUUCGUG
rnacentral:rRNA from 1 species